CCCUGACAGACGCAAGGUGCGUCUGACAAUAGCCAAGACAGGAGAUCAUAAUG
rnacentral:ncRNA from 1 species